AGACGUGAAACUGCUUAGAGGUUAAGCCCGAUGAACCUGAAUAUCCGUUAUGGAAAAUUCAUCACUAAUACUAUGAUAUAUAUCAUAUUAUAGAAAUAGUGUGCAAUUUUUCCAUAUAAGGACAUUGUAAUCUGUUAAUGUAAUAAAUAUUUAUCAUAAGAUCUUUUACUUAAGUUUAUUUAAAUUAGUUAUUUUCGGAUUUCUAACAUAAAAUAAAUGUAUUUGAUUUGAUAAAUCAUUGACAGAUUUAAUUAUAUAUAGUGCUUAAAUUUUUCGGAAUUUUACAAUGCUGAAUAAAUCUAUUGAUUUAUUUAUAUUGUAUGCGCUUAUAUGAUUAACAAUGCGAUAGAUUCAGGAUACCUUCGGGACCCGUCUUGAAACACGGACCAAGGAGUCUAACAUAUGUGCAAGUCAUUGGGUAUUUUUAAUAAAACCCAAUGGCGUAAUUAACUUAACUGUUUUUUAAAUGGGAUUAGUUUAUAUUUUAUUAUGAAAUAUGAAUUCAAUCCCGGGGCGUUCUAUACAGUUAUGCAUAAUGAUAUUUAUAUUAUUUAUGCCUCUAACUAGAGC
rnacentral:rRNA from 1 species